rfam:Triticum aestivum genome assembly, contig: Triticum_aestivum_CS42_TGACv1_scaffold_196240_3AL
AUUAUACUCCCUCCGUCCGGAAAUACUUGUUGAAGAAAUAAAUAUAUUUAGAUGUAUUUUAGUUCUAGAUACGUCCAUUUUACCCAUAUUUGCGACGAGUAAUUCCGGACAGAGGGAGUACAUA